rnacentral:pre_miRNA from 1 species
AAAGUACUCCCUCCGUCCCAAAAUUCUUGUCUUAGAGUUGUCUAGAUACGGAUGUAUCAAGUCACAUUUUAGUAUUAGAUACAUCCGUAUCUAGACAAAUCUAAGACAAGAAAUUUGGGACAGAGGGAGUAGUUG